UUACACAUGCAGUCGAGGGGCAGCGGGGUGUAGCAAUACACUGCCGGCGACCGGCGCACGGGUGCGUAACGCGUAUGCAACCUACCCAUAACAGGGGCAUAACACUGAGAAAUUGGUACUAAUUCCCCAUAACAUUCGAAGAGGCAUCUCUUUGGGUUGAAAACUCCGGUGGUUAUGGAUGGGCAUGCGUUGUAUUAGCUAGUUGGUGGGGUAACGGCUCACCAAGGCGACGAUACAUAGGGGGACUGAGAGGUUAACCCCCCACAUUGGUACUGAGACACGGACCAAACUCCUACGGGAGGCAGCAGUGAGGAAUAUUGGUCAAUGGACGCAAGUCUGAACCAGCCAUGCCGCGUGCAGGAUGACGGCUCUAUGAGUUGUAAACUGCUUUUGUACGAGGGUAAACUCACCUACGUGUAGGUGACUGAAAGUAUCGUACGAAUAAGGAUCGGCUAACUCCGUGCCAGCAGCCGCGGUAAUACGGAGGAUUCAAGCGUUAUCCGGAUUUAUUGGGUUUAAAGGGUGCGUAGGCGGUUAGAUAAGUUAGAGGUGAAAUCCCGGGGCUUAACUCCGAAAUUGCCUCUAAUACUGUUUGACUAGAGAGUAGUUGCGGUAGGCGGAAUGUAUGGUGUAGCGGUGAAAUGCUUAGAGAUCAUACAGAACACCGAUUGCGAAGACAGCUUACCAAACUAUAUCUGACGUUGAGGCACGAAAGCGUGGGGAGCAAACAGGAUUAGAUACCCUGGUAGUCCACGCAGUAAACGAUGAUAACUCGCUGUCGGCGAUACACAGUCGGUGGCUAAGCGAAAGCGAUAAGUUAUCCACCUGGGGAGUACGUUCGCAAGAAUGAAACUCAAAGGAAUUGACGGGGGCCCGCACAAGCGGAGGAACAUGUGGUUUAAUUCGAUGAUACGCGAGGAACCUUACCCGGGCUUGAAAGUU
rnacentral:rRNA from 1 species